UACGUAGGGUGCGAGCGUUAAUCGGAAUUAUUGGGCGUAAAGCGCGCGCAGGCGGUCUUUUAAGUCUGAUGUGAAAGCCCACGGCUCAACCGUGGAGGGUCAUUGGAAACUGGGAGACUUGAGUGCAGAAGAGAAGAGUGGAAUUCCACGUGUAGCGGUGAAAUGCGUAGAGAUGUGGAGGAACACCAGUGGCGAAGGCGACUCUUUGGUCUGUAACUGACGCUGAGGCGCGAAAGCGUGGGGAGCAAACAGG
rnacentral:rRNA from 1 species